GAUCCAUCAAGUGAGCCAUUUGUUGCAGAAACUUCAUGAUCUCAAAUGUGGUGGAGCUAUCUAGACCAGUUGAUAUAUCAUCCAUGAAGAAGCAUCUUGCAAGACCAACUAGCAUCUCGCCUGCAUCAACGAAGCACCUCAUGGUGAAGAUCAUACUGGCUAACAUAAGCAUGUAGAUACUGAGGUGUCGAGGAAUUCACUUCUUCUCCAUUGUGCUCCGAGAAGAAGUGUCAUCCUGAUUGCAGAAUGGGUUGCAAAAUUUCAUUACCUCAGGUAAUCUGGGAUCAUUUUGGCUAUGUUAGGCGCGCGGUGUUCAGGCUCUAUGCACACACGUGUUGCGAGCUUUCGUGGGAUAUACUGGACACGUUGGCACGUGCUGUACUUUCUGAAAACGAAAGAAAAUUGACCUGCCAAACUGCCAAAGGAUCACUUCUCUCCGGAGAAAUCAACUGAUCAUAAGGAUUUCUGAAUUCUGAAAUGCAUGCAUGGAGAGAAAAGGGACAAACAGCUGCAGGCCUGCGGUCAAAACAGUGCUGGGCCAUUAAACUGAUCUAGUCAAGCUUGACAUACUUGUCAGAAUCUCGACAUAUAUGAUUAAACAUGCCUCCAAGGAUCUAGGAUAUCUGGUCAGAUAUCUGCAUUUUGGCUAUUCGCCAAUCAUUCCCAAUAGCUGCACCAGAAACUUGGCACGAUUGCAAACAGGAAGAAAAUCUGGAAUAAUUCCGGCUAUCAGAUUAUCAGGGAAAGGAACAAGCAACAGCCCGGGGCCAAACGACAAGCCCACGAUUAAUGCAGAUGCCAUCAUCUUCACUACCGAUGUCGUCAUCGAUGCACUGUUCAGGCUGCUGGAGCUCUAGCUCGAGUAAAAGACAGGUUAGAUAUCUGUGCUAUAUACUGCUAUACCUCUGAAUUUAUUACCGUGCAUUAUUUGACCUGGCUUAGUUAUUGGGAAUAUCAUCAGGAUUUAUGAAUGAUCUGUUGCCGGUUGGGUGAAAGAAGCCCAUGUCAUUGCUCUCUGUUUGAGGUAGACAUGGUGGGGGCAGCCCUAUUUAUACGAAUAUAUUGGCCUAUUAUUUAAUUAUUAUAUACGCCAUAAUAUAUCCCACCUUACUCUAUCUUAAUUUUGUGAUAGAUAGUAGAAUAAGACUAACCUAAAUCAUGGGCCAACACCUAAUUUAAUCCAGCCUAGUAUUAGUGUAUUACAAAGUGCCUUAUAAGAUGGAAACAGAUAUAUUUUUGAUAAUUAAGUUUUUGUCUUCUUAUACUUGGAAAAAUGCACUCGAAAAUUACGAGAUCCACACUGGAUUACAUGACAAACUAACUACUAUACUAGCUUUCAGUAAACAGUAGAGAACAGUUGUGUGUAGGACAGGUUUAUGCCGAUUUAUGGCAUAGUUAUUCUCGAAAUAUUAUUGUUGGAUAGCCACCCAACUGUCCUUGUUCUAGUUAUAGUAAGUCACUAUCUCAAUCGAUUACCAACACAAAGUAUGUGUAACUAAACACAUGCAAGCUAUGGAUUCAUUCUACUACCAUUCCAUCUGCAUGCAUGUUUGUGCUACUACUAGCUAGGUUUCCAGUAGGAGUCCAUGGACUAACCAAUAGCUGGUUUUCCGGAUGAACAAACAACCCAAAAUUAGGAGGCAGGCACACACACACACACUAAUUAAUGCCCAAGCACUUGAUCGGAGUUGAACUGAUCUACGGAUCACAACCUCUUCUCUAUAUGUGGCAGACCACAUAUCUCACUCUUUAUCAUCUCUCUCGACAUUUUCGACAUUUGCGAUGCAUGCCAUGUCAUCCGUGUGCAUGCAAGAGAAAGAAAAGGACGAAAGCGAAAGCGCUUUCAGGCUUGGACAAAGAAACCGAAAGGCCGAGAAGGCAUGCAUAUGCAGCAGACAAUAUAUGUUGAUGAUAUGUUUAAGGGAGAAGAAAGGUAACAAAUCAACAGUGGCUGGAAGAAUUUGCUGCUAAUUACCUGAGC